GGGGAAUUUUCCGCAAUGGGCGAAAGCCUGACGGAGCAAUACCGCGUGAGGGAGGAAGGCUCUUGGGUCGUAAACCUCUUUUGUCAAGGAAGAAGAUCUGACGGUACUUGACGAAUAAGCAUCGGCUAACUCCGUGCCAGCAGCCGCGGUAAUACGGAGGAUGCAAGCGUUAUCCGGAAUUAUUGGGCGUAAAGCGUCCGCAGGUGGCGUGUCAAGUCUGCUGUUAAAGACCGGGGCUAAACUCCGGAAAGGCAGUGGAAACUGAAACGCUAGAGUGCAGGAGGGGUAGAGGGAAUUCCCGGUGUAGCGGUGAAAUGCGUAGAUAUCGGGAAGAACAUCGGUGGCGAAAGCGCUCUACUGGACUGCAACUGACACUCAGGGACGAAAGCUAGGGGAGCGAAUGGGAUUAGAUACCCCAGUAGUCA
rnacentral:rRNA from 1 species